rnacentral:rRNA from 1 species
ACUCAAAGGAAUUGACGGGGGCCCGCACAAGCGGAGGAGCAUGUGGCUCAAUUCGAUGCUACGCGAAGAACCUUACCCAGACUUGACAUGCGGAUGCACGGGCGGUGAAAGCCGCCCUCCUUCGAGGGUUCCGCACAGGUGCUGCAUGGCUGUCGUCAGUUCGUGCCGUGAGGUGUUCGGUUAAGUCCGAUAACGAACGCAACCCCUGCGUCCAGUUGCCAGCGAGUAAUGUCGGGGACUCUGGACGGACUGCCCGUUUACGCGGGAGGAAGGUGGGGAUGACGUCAAGUCAGUAUGGCCCUUACGUCUGGGGCUGCACACGUGCUACAAUGGCCGGUACAGAGGGAUGCCAAGCCGCGAGGCGGAGCGACCCCCAAAACCGGCCCCAGUUCGGAUUGCAGGCUGCAACUCGCCUGCAUGAAGUCGGAUUCGCUAGUAACGGCGCAUCAGCUACGGCGCCGUGAAUACGUUCCCGGGCCUUGUACACACCGCCCGU